rnacentral:rRNA from 18 species
UAGUGGCGAACGGGUGAGUAACACGUGGGCAAUCUGCCCUGCACUCUGGGACAAGCCCUGGAAACGGGGUCUAAUACCGGAUACGAGCCUCCUCCGCAUGGUGGAGGUUGGAAAGCUCCGGCGGUGCAGGAUGAGCCCGCGGCCUAUCAGCUUGUUGGUGAGGUAACGGCUCACCAAGGCGACGACGGGUAGCCGGCCUGAGAGGGCGACCGGCCACACUGGGACUGAGACACGGCCCAGACUCCUACGGGAGGCAGCAGUGGGGAAUAUUGCACAAUGGGCGAAAGCCUGAUGCAGCGACGCCGCGUGAGGGAUGAAGGCCUUCGGGUUGUAAACCUCUUUCAGCAGGGAAGAAGCGAAAGUGACGGUACCUGCAGAAGAAGCGCCGGCUAACUACGUGCCAGCAGCCGCGGUAAUACGUAGGGCGCAAGCGUUGUCCGGAAUUAUUGGGCGUAAAGAGCUCGUAGGCGGCUUGUCGCGUCGGUUGUGAAAGCCCGGGGCUUAACCCCGGGUCUGCAGUCGAUACGGGCAGGCUAGAGUUCGGUAGGGGAGAUCGGAAUUCCU